rnacentral:rRNA from 1 species
CUCCCUGACUCUUUAAGAGUCCUGAAGGAACGUUGAAGACGACGACGUUGAUAGGCCGGGUGUGUAAGCGCAGCGAUGCGUUGAGCUAACCGGUACUAAUGAACCGUGAGGCUUAACCUUACAACGCCGAAG